rnacentral:lncRNA from 1 species
GUUCAUUUCAAUACAGAUAGAAAAAUCAAAUAAGUGAACUCGGUUUUGAAAACAUUUUCAUUAUUGGGGAUUUUUCGUCACCACAGGAUUGAGCUUGUGGAAGUAUUUGAGUAAGCUACAUGGAGAAAAUCUAAUUUGUUUACACUGAAGUCAAGUUUCUCUAAAACAGACGGUGGGGACAUGGGUUCUCCACUCUCUGAGAUUCUCUUAGGCUUAAUUCAACAUCAGCCAGGAAGAUGCUUAUGUGAAAUGUGUUCUAGAUGCUCACCGGAAGUAAGUGAAUUCCUCAAAUCAUGCCAAUCA